CUCACAAUGAAUUACCCAGUAUAUGAAAUAUGGUAAAAAGUUAAAAGACCGAAUUCAGGGAUUUAUUGAGAUGAGUACCUAUGCUUCUAUUAUGGAAAGCCACAUGUCAUUUAUUUAAUAAACAUACCUAUUCAAUGAGCGCCAAAGCAUAGUAGGGAAACAAAGAUUUUCACAAAAAUUAUUUUCUAGUAAGUUUAUGUUCCAUUAGAUACAUUGGUACAGUAAAUAAGUAAAUAAUGUCACCCCGUAGCUUCCUAAAUGAACUUAUGUAUUUAAAUUUUCAGCCCUGCGAUAUUUCAACUUUUGGCCCAUGUAGUACACGAUUUUCUUUUUCUUGACCGGUUGAAAGUACGUACUUUUGAUCGAAUUAUGACGAAAAAUAUUAUUUGGAAUAAUAAUUUAUGGUCUAUAAUAACUUCAACUUCAUCACAUACUUCCUAUUUUAUAUUUGGUUCACUAAGAUGACUCAAGGUCAAGUUGAUUUUUUAUUUUUAGUUUAGAUAGAUCCGUCAGCAUAAAUAUAAAUUAAAUUGGCAAAAAUUACACAAUAGUAAAUAAUUUUAUCACAUUCUAUUAAUUAUGGUGAAAAUAUAUUUGAUGAAGUUAUGAAAAUAAAUAUUAGAUAUAGUUUACAAUGCGAGUGCAUUAAUGUAUAACAUUUUUUCUCAUAACCUCAUAAAACUUUAUAAUGUUUUAGAAUAUUGUUCUUAGAUACAGGGCCUGCGCACUGAAAUAGGAGAAGUUCAGGACGAUUUUCAACGCCACCUCUGUUACUGGCUCACAUCUAAAAGCUUACUUUUUGGUGUUUUAUUUUUGAAUGUUUGUCAAUCUGGAUUCUGAAACUAAGUUGCAAACAUGCAUCGAGAAACAACCAAUAUUAUUGAAUGAACAACGUCCAUCUUGCAAAGGUGUUUGAUAUUUUUUGUUUAUUAACUAUUUGCAUUUUUGUGCAUUUAAAAGUUAUUAUUUGCUGCGAAUUGUGCUUGUUGUUGUUGUUGUGCGAGUUUACUUACACAAUAUGAGUAAACGAGUAAAGGCCUACUGUGACCAGGAUGCACGAAUAAGCAAACGAUAAGACAUUCCGUUCCUACGAAUGAAGGCGUUUGCAGAAUUUAGUUGCAAAGAAUAAAUAACCCCAAGUUAAUACUUGCAGAUACAGUAUUAUCAUCACAUAGAAUAUGUGAUAUUCAUUUUGAACCAAUUUGUAGAAACCCCAAUGGCAGGUUUAAAAAACUUUCAUUGCCAACUCUACAUUUACCUGGUAUUAUUAAUAAAAUUUUGAAGGGCAAAGAUCAACAAUAUAAACACUGUGAUGUUGUGAUGAAUAAGCUGCAAGAAAGACAACGGUAAUCAUUAAUUAACCAUGGUUAUAAAAUCAGUUUUUUAUAUACCAUUGUAUGUACCAUGUACAAACAGAAGCAUUUUUUAAACACAUCUCACUGUUGACAGUCCUAAGCCUGCUAAAGUGCGAAGGAAAUUUUUUUGUUUGUGGAUAUAGUUAUAAAAUGUCAAAAACAAAAUAAAAAUUAUAA